rnacentral:lncRNA from 1 species
AUGCUGCUGCUCUGCCCUGCUCGCCCCACCCCGCCCUGCGACAAUGACGGCCACAAUGACGCAUGCAGGUGGCUCCUUCCUCUUCCUGCGUGUCUUACACAGGUGUCACCCUCUCUAACCCUCCCUACCCCGGCUCCCAGUGCCAGGCGUACACAGGGGCUCCUGUCCCACCCUCCACCUGCCACCUGCCACGCCGCACUAUGCACUAUCGGUACUUGGUUCUGUGACGCCAGGGAUCCAGGGCUCUGUCCCCUGCUGGCUACUGUUUCGGGAUGCAACAAGCACCAAGCGGACACACACAUCCCUCGGCUGUGCUGCACUUCAGAUGAGACACCAGCACACAGGGAGGACUCUCACAGGCUGAGACUCAUAGCACACCCCGAAACCAGUGUGUCCUCACCUCUGGCUGGUCCUGGCAUAGUCACCUGCCUCAGUCUCCACGCGUCUCUCUGCACAGCGCCUGGUGAGGCCACCCUGGGAGAGCACCAGCGCUGCCAGCACGCAGCCUCCAGCCUUCCCAGCCCCCAUCUCCUCCUCCUCCCCACUGAGCACCCCAAAGGCCAGCUGGCUCAGCUGCACCCAUCACAGGAAGGUGGACUGUGUGUCCACAGGCACCUUAGCCAGGAGCAACCUUCGAAGGAAACCAGGCAGGGGCUGGAAGCGAGCACAGAGCACCAGCAAGGGGAAGUCAUCAACUGUCACCGCCAGCUGGGAAAGCCCUGCACAGGGAGCAGGCAGGGCCGCAUCUCUGCCAACCCGGUCCUGCAGGGCCAGAGCCCGCUGAGGAGCAAUGGGUGUUCCAGUGUCCGAGGCCCCCAGAGGGCAAGUGAUGGCCGAUACACGGCCAUCGACCUAAGGGCUGCAGAUGCUCAGUGAACCAAAGCCACUGAGCUGCACGUGGCAGAAUGGCUGGUUCCACAGUGCAAGAAUCACACUGCAGUUCAAAAGGUAUCACAGGAGGCCUCUGAGCAGCGAGGCAACUGUGUCACCUGCAAAACCAUCCUGGCUAUUGUACAGCAGUGGCAGGACAUUCAGGGAGACCAAGGAGGGGCAAAGCAAACGGAGCAGGGAAGAGAUCCGAGUCUACAACACAGCCAAAAAGACACACCUGAGGAGCAGGACAUGGGCUGGGACAGAGAAGGGGGCCUGCUCCCUAAGCUGGGGGGUGGGGGGGGUCCAGUUUAGUGAGAAGAGUAAGGAGGAGAAGGUUGGAGAAGGGCCCACAGGUCAAACUAAGUACAUACCUAUAACCCCAGUACUCAGGGAGGCUGAGGCAGGAGGACUCCAAGUUCCAGCCCAGGCUAGGCAAUUCAGGCCCCUUGGUGAGAGCCUGUCUCAAAAUUUU